UUAGUGGCGGACAGGUAGGAUAUACCUGGGUAACGUACCUUUAACUUGGGAAUACCGAUUGGAAACGAUCGCUAAUACCGAAUGUGAUGGCGUAAGGCAACUUACGUUAAUUAAAGUGGGGGACCGAAAGGCCUUGCGGUUAGAGAGCGGCCCAUGGGAUAUCAGCUAGUUGGGGAGGUAAAGGCUCACCAAGGCUAAGACGUCUAGGCGGAUUGAGAGAUUGACCGCCAACACUGGGACUGAGAACUGCCCAGACUUCUACGGGAGGCUGCAGUCGAGAAUCAUUCGCAAUGGGCGAAAGCCUGACGAUGCGACGCCGUGUGGACGAUGAAGGCCUUUGGGUCGUAAAGUCCUUUCGCUAGGGAACAAGAGAGAGUAACGAAUAAUUGCUCGAUUUGAUGGUACCUAGUAAAGAAGCACCGGCUAACUCCGUGCCAGCAGCUGCGGUAAUACGGAGGGUGCAAGCAUUAAUCGGAUUUAUUGGGUGUAAAGGGCGCGUAGGCGGGCAAGUAAGUCAGAUGUGAAAUUCCGAGGCUCAACCUCGGAGCUGCAUUUGAAACUUCAUUUCUUGAGGAUAGACGGAGAAAACGGAAUUCCACAAGUAGCGGUGAAAUGCGUAGAUAUGUGGAAGAACACCCGUGGCGAAGGCGGCUUUCUAGCUUAUAACUGACGCUGAGGCGCGAAAGCAAGGGGAGCGAACAGGAUUAGAUACCCUGGUAGUCCUUGCCGUAAACGAUGUAUACUAGGUGUAGUUGGACUCAACCCCGACUGUGCCGUAGCUAACGUGUUAAGUAUGCCGCCUGGGGAGUACGGUCGCAAGGCUGAAACUCAAAAGAAUUGACGGGGACCCGCACAAGCAGUGGAGCAUGCGGUUUAAUUCGAUGCAACGCGAAGAACCUUACCUAGAUUUGACAUGUAGUGGACCGUACCAGAAAUGGUACUUUCCUUCGGGACUGCUACACAGGUGCUGCAUGGCUGUCGUCAGCUCGUGCCGUGAGGUGUUGGGUUAAGUCCCGCAACGAGCGCAACCCUUAUCGCUAGUUGCCAACAUUUUAGGUGGGAACUCUAACGAGACUGCCUAGGUUAACUAGGAGGAAGGUGAGGAUGACGUCAAGUCAGCAUGGCCCUUACGUCUGGGGCUACACACGUGCUACAAUGGCCGGUACAGAAGGCAGCGAAGCCGCGAGGUCAAGCAAAUCCCUAAAGCCGGUCCCAGUUCGGAUUGGAGUCUGCAACUCGACUCCAUGAAGUUGGAAUUGCUAGUAACGGCGAGUCAGCUACAUCGCCGUGAAUACGUUCCCGGGUCUUGUACACACCGCCCGUCACAUCAUGGGAGUUGGUUUUACCCGAAGCCGCUGGCUUAACCGCGAGGAGGGCAGCGUCUAAGGUAAGGCUGAUGACUGGGAUGAAGUC
rnacentral:rRNA from 1 species